GCUAUAUUUUCCGCCUUAAAAGAGCAAUAAUGAAGCACAAACCGGUCUAAUUGUUUUAAAAACAUGCCUAAGCCACGACAAAGUAUUCAAGGUAAAUGUUUUUCGUCUUUGUUUUGUAUUUUUUUACAUUUGUAGCUACGAAAUUGGCGUCCCCAAUUUUAACGAAAUUUGGGAUGCCUUUUUCACUGUUUAGUGCUUGAAAUAUUUGCUAAAAUUGACUGGGAAUACUUAGAGAUUUCAUCGUAGAAUGGCGUAGUUAUAUUCAUUUGCUCUUUGACUAAAAUGUUUAACUGUAUUAUUGCUAAACAUGCCGUUUUUGAGAAUUUGGUUUGCAACUAGGUUUCAACAUCCAAUCACGCCAUCAGCCCAUUGAAAACAUUAGGUCACGUCAGCUAGUUUCCUAUCGAUUUAU
rnacentral:lncRNA from 1 species